GAUUUGAAAGUUGUUUUCUACUGUUCAUAUGGUAAAUUUUGAACCAAACUAAUAUAUACCUGCUACAUCACCCAAUUUUGCUCAUUUUUGGCAAGUGCACAAGUCAUAUUCUGCAUUACCUCUUUUCUUGGUUGUUUUAUAGCUUUCACAGGUUGAAAUUGAUGAUUAGAACUUGUUGGAAGUAUCCUUUCCUCCUUUAAACCACUGCCAUUCAUUAUCAC
rnacentral:lncRNA from 1 species